UUGUUUAAUUACAAUCCUACUAUAAUACCAAUGCAGUUUCUUCAGGGUCUUCACUUUAAUAUCCUUUCAUUUAACUGUUUAAAGUUUCUCGUUUAUCUACUCUGCAUUAUAUGAUGUGGGGUCGUUUGUUAAUUUAGAUGUGAACUAUCUUCAAUUCAAGUUUUGAUUGGACAAUCACUUAUAGCCAAUUAUUUCAAAACAUUCUGUUGUUUAAAUGUUUAUUACUCAUUUAUAUUGAGCAAAGGUAAAUUUCUUCAUAUGCAAGCAUCUCAAAGCUUGUUCCAGUUUAGAAUUUUAUUAUAUUACCCUUAGAUGUAGAAAAAUUGGAAAAAAUU